rnacentral:rRNA from 1 species
AUACGAAGGGGGCUAGCGUUGCUCGGAAUGACUGGGCGUAAAGGGCGUCGUAGGCGGUUUACACAGUCAGAUGUGAAAUCCCCGGGCUUAACCUGGGAGCUGCAUUUGAUACGUGUAGACUAGAGUGUGAGAGAGGGUUGUGGAAUUCCCAGUGUAGAGGUGAAAUUCGUAGAUAUUGGGAAGAACACCGGUCGGCGAAGGCGGCAACCUGGCUCAUGACUGACGCUGAGGCGCGAAAGCGUGGGGAGC